rnacentral:rRNA from 1 species
AAAGUAUUUGUUUUUCUUAGGUAUUAAUAGAUUUGUUCUUUAAACUUAAAAAAUUUGGCAGUAUUUUAGUCUUUUUAGAGGAAUUUGUAAAUUAAUUGAUAAUCCACAAUGUAUCUUUCUUAAUUUAUUAGUUUAUAUAUCGUUGUUUUUAAAAAUUUUUUAAAAAUAAUAAUUUUUAAUUUUUUUUAUAUAAAUAGAAAUCAAAUCAAGGUGUAGCGUAUAAUUAAGUUUUUAUGAAUUACAAUAAAAUUAUUUAUAUGAAUAAUAAUUUGAAAAAAGAUUUGAAGGUGGAUUUAAUAGUAAAAUUUUAUAGAUUAAAUUUUUGAUUUUAGCUCU